rnacentral:lncRNA from 1 species
UGAAGGCAAGGAGCUCUCCUCCUCCAAUGUAUAUAUCUAUUAUCUCUAGCCCAAGAUACUUGGCUUGCCAUUCUCAUAGUCAUAACUUGCCAGUUUGUGAUGAGAAGAGAGAGCACUGUAUGUCAUCGGCCCUCCUGCCUGGGAUAGUGAUGAGUGCAAGGAAUCAUGCUUGUCAGGUUAGGCGUUGUCGUUGUAGCCUCCGUCACAGCUUUAACACUUAAGAGAGCCAACAGUGGUAGCAAAGGUACUAUACUUGCAGCUCUCUAGCACCAACACUUCCUUAAUCUGCUCAUCUAAAUUUCUCACUAAAGCUCUUGAUGAACUUCUGCAGAUGGCCAAUCAAGGAAAAGAAAGGAUGAAACUCGCUACCCUGAACAUGUAAGUACAUGUUUAUUCUCUACUAGCC